AAGCCCGUGGCAACGCACGGACAUUCUACUAGUCAUCCUUAUUGUAGUGCUCAAGUUGAAUUGAGCAAUAGAGAAAUAAAGCUAAUUUUGCAAAAGAGCGUUAGUAGAUCUAGAAAGAACUGGUCUAAGAAACUUGAUGAUGCAUUGUGGGCAUACAUAACUGCUUAUAAAAAUCCUAUGGGUAUGUCCCCUUAUAAAAUGGUUUAUGGAAAAGCAUAUCAUUUUUCUCUUGAUUUAGAACAUAAAGCAUAUUGGCAAUUAAAGAACUUAACUAUGUUUUCAAACUUGCUGGUGAAAGGAGGUUAUUUCAUAUUAGUUCUUUAG
rnacentral:rRNA from 1 species